ACUUCUUUAUUUAACAAAUUUCGAUAUUUGUUAUUUGUGAACAACUGGUGCAAGGACCAAAGUAUUUGGAUUAAUAGCAGAUAAAUAUACAACAAAUAUGUGUAACUUAAAUGAUGUUAUAGAUAGUGAAUUCAUCAUGCUAAACCAAGCAAAAUUUUGACUUAGUUGGGGAGUAAACACAAUAGAUUUCAAAUGACCCCAUAGAAAAAAGUCCAACGGCGUUAUAUCAGGAGAUGUAGCAGGCCAUUUUAUAGCCCCCUUCGCCCUAUCCAUUUAUCUGGAAACUCGUCGUCUAGCCAUUGCCGAACGGGAAAAACAUGGGUUUCCAUUAUCAUCGAUUUGGUUUUCAAUGGAUUCAGUGAUAAGCGGAUUGAUAUCCGCUUCCUAUACGUGGCUGACCAUGAUUCCGGAAGAUUCGCACACCUUUCAGAGACGUGCGGUGUGCCACGAACGUGUUUCAAAAUGAAGGGAAAUUAGGCUAGUAUUCUCGGCAUUUCAAAUAUCGUUACAAUAUUUUUACCAUCAACAAUGUUAUCAUUGUUUGUACAAUAUUAUAUUUUACGAA